rnacentral:rRNA from 1 species
CAGGAUGAACGCUGGCGGCGUGCCUAACACAUGCAAGUUGAGCGAUUUACUUCGGUAAAGAGCGGCGGACGGGUGAGUAACGCGUGGGUAACCUACCCUGUACACACGGAUAACAUACCGAAAGGUAUGCUAAUACGGGAUAAUAUAUUUGAGAGGCAUCUCUUGAAUAUCAAAGGUGAGCCAGUACAGGAUGGACCCGCGUCUGAUUAGCUAGUUGGUAAGGUAACGGCUUACCAAGGCGACGAUCAGUAGCCGACCUGAGAGGGUGAUCGGCCACAUUGGAACUGAGACACGGUCCAAACUCCUACGGGAGGCAGCAGUGGGGAAUAUUGCACAAUGGGCGAAAGCCUGAUGCAGCAACGCCGCGUGAGUGAUGAAGGCCUUCGGGUCGUAAAACUCUGUCCUCAAGGAAGAUAAUGACGGUACUUGAGGAGGAAGCCCCGGCUAACUACGUGCCAGCAGCCGCGGUAAUACGUAGGGGGCUAGCGUUAUCCGGAUUUACUGGGCGUAA